AUUUAUCUAAUAUAAAUAAAAGUAUAUUUGACUUCCAAUCAAAAAGUUUGAUAUAAAAUUCAAGAUAAAUA
rnacentral:tRNA from 1 species